rnacentral:rRNA from 1 species
UACGUAGGGUGCGAGCGUUGUCCGGAAUUAUUGGGCGUAAAGAGCUUGUAGGCGGUUUGUCGCGUCUGCCGUGAAAAUCCGGGGCUCAACCCCGGACUUGCGGUGGGUACGGGCAGACUAGAGUGUGGUAGGGGAGACUGGAAUUCCUGGUGUAGCGGUGAAAUGCGCAGAUAUCUGGAGGAACACCGGUGGCGAAGGCGGCAUCCUGGACCAACACUGACACUGAGGAGCGAAAGCCAGGGGAGCAAACGGG